rnacentral:lncRNA from 1 species
AUUUUUUCGAUUAUCGGAAGUAAAUUAAUCGGCCUAAAAUCUUCAAACGCCUGUGGUUUACUUAUUUUUGGUACAGAUAUUAUGGUACUACAUUUUAAUACUGACGGCAGAACUCCUGCUUGCAGGCAGGUAUUAACUAUGUUUAACAAUGGGUAACCAACCACUGAAAAUAUCCCUUUCAACAGUGACACUGUCAGAAUAUCGUCACCAGUUGCUUUAUUUUUUAAACUACUUACCACUUU